GACAUCAUGAAAACGAUCAACUUAGGUGUUUAUGACGUCGAUAUUCGACGUCAUAAACACGAUCAACUUUGGUGUUUAUGACGUCGACGUUAUAAACACGAUCAACUUAGGUGUUUAUGACGUCGAUAUUCGACGUCAUAAACACGAUCAACUUUGGUGUUUAUGACGUCGACGUUAUAAACACGAUUAUCUUUGGUGUUUAUGACGUCGAUAUUCGACGUGAUAAACACGAUCAACUUUGAUGUUUAUGACGUC